UCGAAUGGAAUGCAAUCUAAGUUCGCUGCAUCCUGCGGAAACGAUUGCAUGACCCACGUCUUGUGGG
rnacentral:sRNA from 1 species